AGAGAGGUGGCUCAGCAGUUAAGAGCAGUGACUGAUGAUCUAGAAGACCUGGGUUCAAUUCCCAGGCCAUCUA
rnacentral:tRNA from 1 species